rnacentral:rRNA from 1 species
GUGGGGAAUAUUGGGCAAUGGGGGAAACCCUGACCCAGCGACGCCGCGUGAGGGAAGACGGCCUUCGGGUUGUAAACCUCUUUUGUACGGGAAGAAGGAAGUGACGGUACUGUACGAAUAAGUCCCGGCUAACUACGUGCCAGCAGCAGCGGUAAUACGUAGGGGACGAGCGUUGUCCGGAAUUACUGGGCGUAAAGGGCGCGCAGGCUGUGCUGCAAGUCAGCUGUGAAAUGUCUGGGCUUAACCCGGGCAUGCGGUUGAGACUGCAGUGCUGGAGUGCUGUAGAGGCAAGUGGAAUUCCCAGUGUAGCGGUGAAAUGCGUAGAGAUUGGGAGGAACACCAGUGGCGAAGGCGACUUGCUGGGCCGUAACUGACGCUGAGGCGCGAAAGCGUGGGGAGCGAACAGGAUUAGAAACCCGUGUAGUCC